rnacentral:rRNA from 1 species
GACGAACGCUGGCGGCGUGCCUAAUACAUGCAAGUCGAACGCUGAAGGCUGGUACUUGUCCGGACUGGGGGAGCAGCGAAAGGGUGAGUAACACGCGUGGAAUCUGCCUUUCAGCGGGGGACAACAUUUGGAAACGGAUGCUCAUACCGCAUGAAAACUUUAAACACAAGAUUUAAGUUGGAAGAAUGCAAUUGCAUCACUCAAAGAUGAUCCCGCGUUGUAUUAGCUAGUUGGUGAGGUAAAGGCUCACCAAGGCGAUGAUACAUAGCCGACCUGAGAGGGUGGUCGGCCACAUCGGGACUGAGACACGGCCCAAACUCCUCCGGGAGGCACCGGUAGGGGAUCUUCGGCAAUGGACGAAAGUCUGGCCGAGCAACGCCGCGUGAGUGAAGAAGGUGUUCGGAUCGUAAAAGUCUGGUGGUAGAGAAGAACGUGGGUGAGCGUGGAAAGCGCACGAAGUGACGGUAACGACUCAGGAAGCGACGGCUAACUACGUG